UAGUGCAUUUUCUCUUGUAUUUCCUCUCUUUCAUGUAGCUGAUUACAAAGUCCUUUAGUAGAGACACACACGUACUACAUACUGCUUAAUGAUUAUUAGCAUCAUAUUUUCAAACCAUUCACUGACCUCUAAAGGACAGAGAAAGUUCAUAAACUACAUCCGAAUUCUGGUGUGUCUUUCGAGCCCCUUCAGUUCUACAAAAGAUAUGUCAUGAUAGCAAUCUGCUACUAUAUAUACAAAAGUCAGAAGAAUAUGAUUCCACUUAAAAUAAGGCAGAUUAACCUAUCAAUUCCACUUUCAAGAUCGAACAAACUAAUUGUACUUAUUCGAAGUAAUAUGUUGAAUUUUGGAAGUUUAGUAGAAUGUGUUUAAAUACUUACAUGUAAACAAUGUCCACGGUGUUCCGAAUAUCCCAACAUAAUAUGUAUAGAUCCUAACAAAAAAUCAUGACGAGGUCAGUUGUUUGUAUAGUCCCAAGAUAUAUGUGAUGAAGAACCUUGAGAUCAGUUAUUGAAAAUACAGAUUUUUAGUUACCUUCCACCCUCCAUUAUAUAAAUAAUUUCCAUAUUUUAAAAAAAGCACCUGAGAUUUGCAUCAUUGUUAUAUGCUAUCUAUACAACAAAAGCUAAGGAAGUAGUGUUGCUUCACAAACCUGUGUAACACCCCCAAGCUGGCCAUUAGAACAUAUAAUGGCUCCAUGCUACCCUCUGCAUAAACAGCUGUUGUGUGGCUAUAAGAGCCAACUGCGAGCAUCCCAUUUUGAGGGGAGAACGAAAUUGAAGUUACUAUACCUGUUGGAAAUAAGGAGAUCAUAAGAGGAACAACAAGGUAUUGGCUCAAAAUUAC
rnacentral:lncRNA from 1 species